rnacentral:rRNA from 1 species
AGAGUUUGAUCCUGGCUCAGGACGAACGCUGGCGGCGUGCUUAACACAUGCAAGUCGAGCGGUGAACCUCUUCGGUGGGGGAUCAGCGGCGAACGGGUGAGUAACACGUGAGCAACCUGCCUUCAGCUUCGGGAUAACUCCGGGAAACCGGGGCUAAUACCGGAUAUGACUUCCUGCCGCAUGGUGGGGGGUGGAAAGAUUUAUCGGCUGGAGAUGGGCUCGCGGCCUAUCAGCUUGUUGGUGGGGUUGUGGCCUACCAAGGCGACGACGGGUAGCCGGCCUGAGAGGGUGACCGGCCACACUGGGACUGAGACACGGCCCAGACUCCUACGGGAGGCAGCAGUGGGGAAUCUUGCGCAAUGGGCGGAAGCCUGACGCAGCGACGCCGCGUGGGGGAUGAAGGCCUUCGGGUUGUAAACCUCUUUCAGCGCCGAAGAAGCGAAAGUGACGGUAGGCGCAGAAGAAGCACCGGCUAACUACGUGCCAGCAGCCGCGGUAAUACGUAGGGUGCAAGCGUUGUCCGGAAUUAUUGGGCGUAAAGAGCUCGUAGGUGGCGGGUCACGUCGGGUGUGAAAGCCCGGGGCUUAACCCCGGGUCUGCAUUCGAUACGGGCUUGCUAGGGUCCGGCAGGGGAGACUGGAAU